rnacentral:rRNA from 1 species
UUGUUGCAGUUAAAAAGCUCGUAGUUGAUAUUCGGGUAAAGAAGCUUCUUUAUUGAAGUUUUCUGAGCCUAGGUCUGUACUUGUACAGACCAGUUACUUUGAGAAAAUUAGAGCGCUUAAAGCAGUCAUUGAAUACGUUAGCAUGGAAUAACAGAAGGACGACAUUUCUUUUGUGGGAAUAUCGUAAUUGAUUAACAGGGACAGUCGGGGGCAUCAGUAUUCAGGAGCUAGAGGUGAAAUUCUUGGAUUUCCUGAAGACUAACUAAUGCGAAAGCAUUUGCCAAGGAUGUCUUCAUUAAUCAAGAACGAAAGUUAGGGGAUCGAAGACGAUCAGAUACCGUCGUAGUCUUAACAGUAAACUAUGCCGAUAGAGUGGAGGAUGGACUAUCAAAUCUAUUCUCCGCUCAAGCGAAAGCAGUUGGUUCUGGGGGGAGUAUGGUCGCAAGGCUGAAACUUAAAGGAAUUGACGGAAGGGCACCACCAGGAGUGGAGCCUGCGGCUUAAUUUGACUCAACACGGGGAAACUCACCAGGUCCAGACACAAUGAGGAUUGACAGAUUGAGAGCUCUUUCAUGAUUUUGUGGGUGGUGGUGCAUGGCCGUUCUUAGUUGGUGGAGUGAUUUGUCUGCU